rnacentral:rRNA from 1 species
UAACACGUAAACAACCUGCCUUCAGGAUGGGGACAACAGACGGAAACGACUGCUAAUACCGAAUAAGUUCCAAGAGCCGCAUGGCCCAUGGAAGAAAAGGUGGCCUCUACCUGUAAGCUAUCGCCUGAAGAGGGGUUUGCGUCUGAUUAGCUGGUUGGAGGGGUAACGGCCCACCAAGGCGACGAUCAGUAGCCGGUCUGAGAGGAUGAACGGCCACACUGGAACUGAGACACGGUCCAGACUCCUACGGGAGGCAGCAUG